rnacentral:rRNA from 1 species
CGAUUACGGGAGGCAGCAGUGGGGAAUAUUGCGCAAUGGGGGGAACCCUGACGCAGCCAUGCCGCGUGAAUGAAGAAGGCCUGGGUUGUAAGUUCUUUCGGUAUUGAGGAAGGUUGAUGUGUUAAUAGUACAUCAAAUUGACGUUAAAUACAGAAGAAGCACCGGCUAACUCCGUGCCAGCAGCCGCGGUAAUAUCG